rnacentral:lncRNA from 1 species
UUGCCACCAAAAAGCUUUUUCCAUCACCCCAAGUUUCCCAAAUUGCCCCCACUACCUCCAAAAAGCUUCUUCCAUCACCCCAAGUUAGGAAAAUUGCCUCCACUACCUCCAAUAAAGUUUUUCCACCACCCCAAGUAUGGAAAAUUGCCUCCACUACCUCACAAAAGCUUCUUCCAUCACCCCAAGUUUGGGAAAUUACCUCCACUGCCUCCAACAAAGUUUUUCCAUCACCCUAAGUUUGGCAAAUUGCCUCCACUACCACCUGUUUAAUAAUCCUCUUUCUUAGAAGAUAUUGCUGAGCUACAAUAUUAUGGCUCUUUGUUUUACACAAAAUAUAUGUGCAUGCAUGUUUUCUGUUUUCCUUUUUUUGCUUUCCUAUCAUCAAGGACUUAGGAAACUUAUUA